CAUCUUACCUGAUGGUAUUAGA
rnacentral:miRNA from 10 species